rnacentral:misc_RNA from 1 species
GAUGAAGAACGCAGCGAAAUGCGAUAAGUAGUGUGAAUUGCAGAAUUCAGUGAAUCAUCGAAUCUUUGAACGCACAUUGCGCUCCUUGGUAUUCCAUGGGGCAUGCCUGUUCGAGCGUCAUUUGUACCUUCAAGCUCUGCUUGGUGUUGGGUGUUUGUCUCGCCUCUGCGUGUAGACUCGCCUUAAAACAAUUGGCAGCCGGCGUAUUGAUUUCGGAGCGCAGUACAUCUCGCGCUUUGCACUCAUAACGACGACGUCCAAAAGUACAUUUUUACACUCUUGACCUCGGAUCAGGUAGGGAUACCCGCUGAACUUAAGCAUAUCAAUAAGCGGAGGA